rnacentral:rRNA from 1 species
GACGUAGGGCGCGAGCGUUGUCCGGAUUUAUUGGGCGUAAAGAGCUCGUAGGCGGCUCAGUAAGUCAGGUGUGAAAACUCCAGGCUCAACCUGGAGACGCCACCUGAUACUGCUGUGGCUAGAGUCCGGUAGGGGAGCAUGGAAUUCCUGGUGUAGCGGUGAAAUGCGCAGAUAUCAGGAGGAACACCAGUGGCGAAGGCGGUGCUCUGGGCCGGAACUGACGCUGAGGAGCGAAAGCGUGGGGAGCAAACAGG